UUAUAUUUCAGCUCCACAAUCAACAAAUAGCUCUGAAAACCAAAUAGGCCACGCUGUUGGAAGUCAGAGCAAACGAGGUCAAAUAGAAGCCUCAACUGGCUGGAUAUAAAGUCUUCUCAACUCCUUUGUGGAAAUUUCCAGGCUUCACAUUCAUUCAUCAGGAUAUCCUCUUUGCACACAAUUACCAUUAAAAUCUUUGGGCUGCUGCAGACUCCACCUGAAGAUGACACAGCUGUACCAGAUAUGUUUAAAGGACCAACAGAGUGAGCACACAGCCACUAGAAUCACCUUUCGUUCCAUGAAGUCUCAGGAUGUGCCUCCUUCCAAAACAUGAGCUGGACACAGUGGACAUGGAUAAUUACUCCUGUGAUACCAGCAGACAUGUGGUCUUGUGGCAACACUUGAGCUCACUGAGCCCAGAUCAAAGU